UUUGGUGGCGAUAGCGAAGAGGUCACACCCGUUCCCAUGCCGAACACGGAAGUUAAGCUCUUCAGCGCCGAUGGUAGUCGGGGGUUUCCCCCUGUGAGAGUAGGACGUCGCCAAGC
rnacentral:rRNA from 1 species